CACUGAGCCCUCCCAUGUGCGCUAUGAAAAUGAUGAGAACGAUUUCCAAGGCUAUGAGCGGCGUCUGAUGAGAGAAGCAACAGAGAGGAACCUCAGAAUUAAACUGAUUGAUGUGUCUAUGACUACGACUAUGACUACAAGCCACAGUUGUUAUGGGGAUAUCAAGGAAAGUGAUGCGCAGUGUCCCCACAAGGGGAUACCCAUGGUCACAAGUAGCAAAUGCUACUGAAUGAGAACUGAACAGCUGCACCAGG
ensembl:lncRNA